rnacentral:rRNA from 1 species
GACGGAGGGGGCUAGCGUUGUUCGGAAUGACUGGGCGUAAAGGGCGCGUAGGCGGCAGUUCAAGUCCGGGGUGAAAUCCUCCAGCUCAACUGGAGAAGUGCCUUGGAUACUGGAUUGCUCGAGGAAGGUAGGGGCCCGCGGAACUUCUGGUGGAGCGGUGAAAUGCGUUGAUAUCAGAAGGAACGCCGGUGGCGAAAGCGGCGGGCUGGAUCUCUACUGACGCUGAGGCGCGAAAGCUAGGGGAGCAAACGGG